UUUUGAUGAUUUGGAUCUUGGAAAACUUUGAGCUUUUCUUCUCUGACUGCUGCAGACGGCAUUUUUUAAGACUGCACUUAAUGCCGCCAACCAGUGACUGGACCAAAUACGACCGAAGUCAUGCACACAGUAUGUAGUGCUGAGGGAAUCAUACGAACUAUUAUGUGAACGGAGACGUUGUAAUUGUUAAACAUAGUUUUUUUAGACCGUGCUUAUGUACCGUAUACAGACAGUACUUUCUUUACUGGUCUGUUUGUGUAUACUGGCCUGUGAUGAUUGGUCGCUCACUGUGUCAGACUGAGCUACAGCACUGGUCUCCUACUAUACUGUAUUAGACUGUUAAUUAAUAAUAAUCACUGUACCUUAUCUAGGUAGCUAAAUAUAUAUCAUUGAUUUGUAAACCUUGUACAGGAGAGCUUCGGAUAAACAACAGUUCUGCUGAACUCUGUACCAACUUCACCAGCAGAAAAACACAUUUUUUGGAGAUGACUUUCAUGCUGAAAUAUUGUGGAUAGGUCGCACGAUGCUAAACUCUAGUCUUCCAUUACCCAUUAGCUUCAUUAGCCUCAGACACAGUGUGCCUAGGUCGAUCUGCUCCAUGUGCGAUCUCUGACUGGCACCACGCCUGCGUGCGCCCUUCAUCCGUAACCAUCCUCGAUACGGAACGUUUCAGUAGAUGAGCUGUGGACAGUAUAGACUCGCAUUCGGAUCAUUCUUUUCUACCGUGCUUUACUGCUUAUAUACUUGUAUGUUCAAUUAUUUACUCUGCGUAUUGUAAUCUAAGAUACCCAUGUACUGUUUCCUACUUUGUGAAAUAUAUUUUUAUAAAUACA